UAGCUCAGUCGGUAGAGCAUGAGACUCUUAUUCUCAGGAUCGUGGGUUCGAGCCCCAN
rnacentral:tRNA from 1 species